rnacentral:lncRNA from 1 species
AUGUUGGUUGUCUUCACAUCACGAUGAAUGAUAACAGCAUGGUUUGCCCCAGUAUGCAAAUAGUGAAGCCCACGAGCUGCACCAAUGCAGAUUUCAAGCCUUUGAUUCCAUGGAAGAGGGGGACUGUCGCUAUGGUAGAGAUGAUCACGUAGGGUCCCACGAGCCAUGAAAUCGUAUACAAGGAUCAUCUCCCUGUCAUCGUUGCAAAAGCCUAUCAGAGGGACUAAAUGAAGAUGCCGGAGCUGCGAGAGCAUUCCUAUCUCAGUUUGGAAUUCCAGGGCACCCUGUUGCGACUCUGGUUCCAGUCGUUUAAUGGCAACAGGGGUAGUGCUGCCAUUGAUGAAGCCUUUGUAGACAUUACCAAACCCUCCAACUCCAAUUACGAGUUCAUUGUCGAAGUUGUUUGUAGCCGCUUGGAUUUCAGAUAGUGAAAAUUGGGUGCAAAGAUCGGAAGGAAGGAAUGAGCCGCGUGAUGACUUGGUUGCCUUGAUAGUCUUAGAAGAAAUAAAAGUCCCCAAAAGUGAAGUACCUGUACCGGAACCCGAGUCCUUGACUUUUCUUCCUCGCCAGAAAAUUAACAACAAUAGAAGAGAUAGCACACCAAAGCCUGAUAUAACACCAGCAACCAUCCCGGUUACAUUAUUCUUCUUAGUCGGUUCUAUUGUUGGAGACGCAUCCAAAUUAGGUGGGAUCGUCCGAGGCUCAGGAUUAGGUCCAGCGAGAUUUCCAGUGUUGUCCACUUUAAAGAUUUCAAGGCCGUUCAAGAUAGCAUCAGAGUAUUUGGUCCUCCAUCUGGGGGCAGGGUGCAGUUGAAUAGAAAGAUUCUGCUUAAUAUUUUCUUCAUUUGGUUUUGGUCCUAUCGUCACAGCAUAAUCUCUAUAUACGGCAACACCAUUCGCACCAGUCCAGGCUAUCACAUCUGCUUGAACUUCAGCAGUUAAAUUAGCAAUGAAGAUCUGGAACACCCUAUUGCCCUCUUCAGUUACCUCUAUCUGAAACUCACAAAAAUGAAGCCUCAGAAAAUAUGUAAAGCCCGAAUCCACUUCGAACUCCCAAGUGAGAUUAUACUUCUCGUUGAUUUCCCUAUCCUGCCCCAUCGUCCUGGCGGUUUUGUAGACCAGAUCUGGAGCAGAGUAAUUACGUAUCCAAGUGAGAUGAAUACUCUGGUUAACGGGAAGAGCACUUGGUCUGGCAUCUGUCAAGUAGGGGUCGUCCAUUUCCCAAGUUCGGUACAUGCCGCCGGUGUCGUCUGACGGUGAUAUUUGUUUCCCGCCGACGUUUAUCCGGUAUAAAGUCGCCAGAGCAUUUAUGUUUAAGAUACUGUAUGGGUUGUCCUGGCCAACAAACCUGAACCCCCCGCCGGGAUCAUCGGCCGCGGUGUAAUAGAAAUUGAGGGGCAUGGAUACAAUCUCAAUUCCAUUGAUAAAAGCAUAUGAAUCGUUGUAAUCCGGACUUGGAGUGAAGGUUAUGUUCAAAAGCCUCUGAUCGUCUUCGAUGUUAAUGCAGAAUUCUUUGAAAAAGGGACUGCGGUCGUUGCCAUAUGCUGCAAGUGAAGCGCUAAAGUUUCUUAACAGAGUGAAAGAAGCUGCUUUUACAGAGAAGAAAGCUGCAGAGGUAUUGAACCCCGGUUUUGGACUUGGAUAGAAAUGCAGGCGGAUGAACUUUUGACCGGCGGUGACGUUGAAUAUGUAGGUGAAUUGCGAAUGAGAAACACGUGAUUUUGAAUAUGGGACUUGUUUAUUUUCAGUGACGAUUGUUGAUUUGGGAGCGGAUGCGUCUUCAUGUGGGGAGUAUUGAGAGUUGACAUCUCCAACCCAAGUCUGGCCGGGAGGACCCGUGUUGCCCAACCAGCCACAAGCAAGAAAUAUGUUGCUUUCUGCUAGAGGGUAAUUAGAGUCACCGGUGACGACAACAGCUAGAUGAUGGCAGGAGAAGAAGAAAAAGAAGAAGUGGAAGAUUUUUCUGUAUGUCUCCAUUAAUUUUUUGACAAUUAAUUAAUAGGCAGGCUGCGGCUAUAGCUUUGAUUUUUCGGAUAGCUAGACAUUUAAAGGUAGCAAAUUUUGUAGCAAUAUGUCCGUCUCUGUCAGUUGGGACCACAGGCGCCUUGGCGUUUCGGGCAUGACAAUCAAAAUGAUGGAAAAAUUAAGUCUUCGUCAACUUCUUAGUCUUUGCCCUUUGGCAUCAGUCCAAUCUACUAUCACCCGUAAGGCACUUUCCAUGGCUACUAUUAAUAGACUUGUUUUGAAAUACAAACUUAUAUACAAACAUACACUGAAACUUCGUUGUAACCACAGAUCAAUCAAUUGGAUUCCAUAAUUAAAUAUACACUUCACAACAAAUCUAGAUUGGACUUGAAUGUUAAAUUAGUGUUCGGUCACUAAAUUAAAAAAAUCUUGGUCCAUAAUUGGUUAUUUUAGAAAUACAACAUGUUUAGCAGUUUAUCGAAAAGUUGAACUAAUUAUAUUAGUGCUGCAUUUACUAAUUAGUCAUCGGAAUAGACUAGAAUUGAAAUGAGCUUGAAAUUGAAAUGGCCUAGAAUCAGAAUCAGAAAAAAAAAAUUAAAAUAAGUUAUUUUUUUGAAUUGUAGGAAUUGGAAUCGGAAUGGAAAUAAAAUUUAUUUCCAUUGACGUGUUUAUUUUGUCUUGAAAUUGGAAUAAAAAAUACCAUUUUUUAAUUAUUGUUAAUUGAUGAUUAAUAAUAAUAAUAAUAAUAAUAAUAGUAAUAAUAAUAAUAAUAAUAAUAAUAAUAAUAUUAUUAUUAUUAUUAUAAGCUUAAGUUGCAAAAAUAGCCUAUCCAGUUUCUAUUGUUAUUAUUAUUAUUAUAAGCUUAAGUUGCAAAAAUAGCCUAUCCAGUUUCUAUUGUUAUUAUUAUUAUUAUAAGCUUAAGUUGCAAAAAUAGCCUAUCCAGUUUCUAUUGUUAUUAUUAUUAUUAUAAGCUUAAGUUGCAAAAAUAGCCUAUCCAGUUUCUAUUGUUAUUAUUAUUAUUAUAAGCUUAAGUUGCAAAAAUAGCCUAUCCAGUUUCUAUUGUUAUUAUUAUUAUUAUAAGCUUAAGUUGCAAAAAUAGCCUAUCCAGUUUCUAUUGUUUCUAUUCUAUUGUAAGAAAAUAUCUUGGGCAUUACACUUUUCUAUUUUUUUUGGCUUAUUUCAUUGAUAAAUUUAAUUUAAAUGGAGAUAAACUUGAAAAUUCUAACUAACUAUAGAAUAGAUAAGCCUGAUUUACAACUCACAUGUUCUCUCCUCUUAUUCUGCUCUUCAUUAAUUUUUGUAGGUUUUUGUGACUUUAUUUAUAUAUAGUCGAGAAUCCAAAUAGUAUGAUUAAAAUAAAAAAUCGAUUAGAAGACAGGUUGGCUUCCAAUUAGGUCAGAACAGGGAAAAAAAAAAAAACUUACCGAUCACUAUUUUACGGGUGAGUUCAUGAGGAAAAUAAUUAGGAGUUGCUUUCUAUUGACCACCGGGACUUGCACGGCUGCUUGACUUGUACAAUUACUGUUGUUGAAUUUGCACGACCAUCGUUAGCAUGCUAGAAUUAGAUUGGAUUAUAUUUGCUUGUGUCUUAUAUUUUGUAUAGUAUAAGAUUAAAUUGGAUUAUAAAAGUAAUAUGUUAUUGGAUAUUAAAAUCACUUACAUAUUUAUUUAGAAAUAGGGCUACUUACAUUUAAAAAAUUAUUCUGAACACACUAAUUUUAAUAAAAGUAUAUAUUUAAAAAAUAAAUUAAAUGCCUAUAAAUGCCUCUAUAAAGAACAUAUAUUAAUUCAUUCACCUGCUCCCUCCCACCCGCCUUAAUUAAUUAUCAAGGCAACACCAGUCUCUGUCCAACGAGUCACUUAUUCCAAUUAAAGUGGUAUCCUUUUCUUUUGUGAGACUAGAACCAUGUACUUUAAUGUUCACAUUGGUGUUGCCCAUACGCCAAACAUAUCAUCAAGCUUAGCUAAUUAUUACUCGAAAUCAAUAAUUAAAUGAGGAUGGAAACCUUAUCCAUUAAACAUUAAUCUUUGUCCCUUAUUAUUAUUUAAACUCGGGUAACAAUAAUGUAAAGUGCAUAUUUAAUUAUGACCAAUUCAGCUAAGCCUAAGUAAUAUAUGUCAAUAAUGUAGUGUCUAGUGUCAUAGAUUAAACUUGAACCAUCUCAUAACUAGGACAAGGAUCCUCUCUCUCUCUCUCUUUUUCCUUUUUUUAGUCUUAUAUCCUCUCCUAGUUUAAUGAAUAGCUAAGAAUGAGUUUGGAAUUUUAAUGUUGACAAUUAAGUUGAUUUUUUUUUUCAACUUAUUUAUAAUUAUGUCAACUCUUUUCACUAAAUUUAAAAAAACUAGAAAAAGCUAGGAGAAAAAAAAUAUUAAAAGAAGAUCCUAAUCCCACAAGUUAAACUCAAACCAUGCAGUACUUAAUUUUGAUGAGUGAAAAUUUGAGUUUUGAAUUUUGAUGUUGACAAACUUUAAAACCAUGCAACACUAGUGCAAAGCAUGGCGAAUGAUAGCGCUCACUAAGCUUGAAAAGCCCAAUAAAUUGUAUAAAAGAGCAUAUUGAGCACUGGGGAUUGGAGCUUUUGGUGACUUGACUCAAAUGAAGCCAGUUCUUUGUAAAUGGAGAAAUUACAUAUGUACAAGUUAUAAUAAGACUCAAUUAUAUCAAAGCAGAUUAGAUAGGAUAAGUUUGGAAUAUUUAUAAUUACAAUUGACCUAUACCUAGUAAGAGUGUAGAUCAUAAUUAUGAAACUCUACGACAAAUGUACAUAUCUAUUGAAAUAUGGAUCUUGAUGGAUUAAGCAUGCAUCUCCUACUCCUCUCCUAUAAAGAGGUUUUAAUACAUUUACAACUGGAGGCAACAUGCCCACUGCUAGAGUUAUCACAUCGGUAUCGUUAGAUUAGCAAUUUUGUUUAUGAUUUUAUCUAAUAGUAAUUUGUCGUUUUGUUUUUGGUUUCAAAUGGGCUCUUAAACAGUGCUAAAUAGUAACUAGGUGGGGGUAUGAAACGCCAUACAUAUCAUGCAUGAGAAAAGGAAAAACACCAACUGAAGGAUAGUUGAGAAUGUGAAGACCCAAGGGGAGAGAUAGGGCAUAGCUUGCAAUGAAAUCUAUCAUAAAAUUUGCUUUGCGAUAAACAUGGAUAACGGUGAUAUGCUAGUCACGUCGCAGGAGAUCCUUUAUAAAUCGAACUAACGGGAUGUAUUCAUUAGUAGAACACAAACGAUUACCAACCAGUUGAGUCACACAUAAGCUAUCCAAUUCCACAUUCAACCAGCAAAUACCUUUUUGCCAAAAUUAUUAUUAUUAUUAUUAUUAUUAUUAUUAUUAUUAUUAUUAUUAUUAUUAUUAUUAUUAUUAUUAUUAUUAUUAUUAUUAUUAUUAUUAUUAUUAUUAUUAUUAUUAUUAUUAUUAUUAUUAUUAUUAUUAUUAUUAUUAUUAUUAUUAUUAUUAUUAUUAUUAUUAUUAUUAUUAUUAUUAUUAUUAUUAUUAUUAUUAUUAUUAUUAUUAUUAUUAUUAUUAUUAUUAUUAUUAUUAUUAUUAUUAUUAUUAUUAUUAUUAUUAUUAUUAUUAUUAUUAUUAUUAUUAUUAUUAUUAUUAUUAUUAUUAUUAUUAUUAUUAUUAUUAUUAUUAUUAUUAUUAUUAUUAUUAUUAUUAUUAUUAUUAUUAUUAUUAUUAUUAUUAUUAUUAUUAUUAUUAUUAUUAUUAUUAUUAUUAUUAUUAUUAUUAUUAUUAUUAUUAUUAUUAUUAUUAUUAUUAUUAUUAUUAUUAUUAUUAUUAUUAUUAUUAUUAUUAUUAUUAUUAUUAUUAUUAUUAUUAUUAUUAUUAUUAUUAUUAUUAUUAUUAUUAUUAUUAUUAUUAUUAUUAUUAUUAUUAUUAUUAUUAUUAUUAUUAUUAUUAUUAUUAUUAUUAUUAUUAUUAUUAUUAUUAUUAUUAUUAUUAUUAUUAUUAUUAUUAUUAUUAUUAUUAUUAUUAUUAUUAUUAUUAUUAUUAUUAUUAUUAUUAUUAUUAUUAUUAUUAUUAUUAUUAUUAUUAUUAUUAUUAUUAUUAUUAUUAUUAUUAUUAUUAUUAUUAUUAUUAUUAUUAUUAUUAUUAUUAUUAUUAUUAUUAUUAUUAUUAUUAUUAUUAUUAUUAUUAUUAUUAUUAUUAUUAUUAUUAUUAUUAUUAUUAUUAUUAUUAUUAUUAUUAUUAUUAUUAUUAUUAUUAUUAUUAUUAUUAUUAUUAUUAUUAUUAUUAUUAUUAUUAUUAUUAUUAUUAUUAUUAUUAUUAUUAUUAUUAUUAUUAUUAUUAUUAUUAUUAUUAUUAUUAUUAUUAUUAUUAUUAUUAUUAUUAUUAUUAUUAUUAUUAUUAUUAUUAUUAUUAUUAUUAUUAUUAUUAUUAUUAUUAUUAUUAUUAUUAUUAUUAUUAUUAUUAUUAUUAUUAUUAUUAUUAUUAUUAUUAUUAUUAUUAUUAUUAUUAUUAUUAUUAUUAUUAUUAUUAUUAUUAUUAUUAUUAUUAUUAUUAUUAUUAUUAUUAUUAUUAUUAUUAUUAUUAUUAUUAUUAUUAUUAUUAUUAUUAUUAUUAUUAUUAUUAUUAUUAUUAUUAUUAUUAUUAUUAUUAUUAUUAUUAUUAUUAUUAUUAUUAUUAUUAUUAUUAUUAUUAUUAUUAUUAUUAUUAUUAUUAUUAUUAUUAUUAUUAUUAUUAUUAUUAUUAUUAUUAUUAUUAUUAUUAUUAUUAUUAUUAUUAUUAUUAUUAUUAUUAUUAUUAUUAUUAUUAUUAUUAUUAUUAUUAUUAUUAUUAUUAUUAUUAUUAUUAUUAUUAUUAUUAUUAUUAUUAUUAUUAUUAUUAUUAUUAUUAUUAUUAUUAUUAUUAUUAUUAUUAUUAUUAUUAUUAUUAUUAUUAUUAUUAUUAUUAUUAUUAUUAUUAUUAUUAUUAUUAUUAUUAUUAUUAUUAUUAUUAUUAUUAUUAUUAUUAUUAUUAUUAUUAUUAUUAUUAUUAUUAUUAUUAUUAUUAUUAUUAUUAUUAUUAUUAUUAUUAUUAUUAUUAUUAUUAUUAUUAUUAUUAUUAUUAUUAUUAUUAUUAUUAUUAUUAUUAUUAUUAUUAUUAUUAUUAUUAUUAUUAUUAUUAUUAUUAUUAUUAUUAUUAUUAUUAUUAUUAUUAUUAUUAUUAUUAUUAUUAUUAUUAUUAUUAUUAUUAUUAUUAUUAUUAUUAUUAUUAUUAUUAUUAUUAUUAUUAUUAUUAUUAUUAUUAUUAUUAUUAUUAUUAUUAUUAUUAUUAUUAUUAUUAUUAUUAUUAUUAUUAUUAUUAUUAUUAUUAUUAUUAUUAUUAUUAUUAUUAUUAUUAUUAUUAUUAUUAUUAUUAUUAUUAUUAUUAUUAUUAUUAUUAUUAUUAUUAUUAUUAUUAUUAUUAUUAUUAUUAUUAUUAUUAUUAUUAUUAUUAUUAUUAUUAUUAUUAUUAUUAUUAUUAUUAUUAUUAUUAUUAUUAUUAUUAUUAUUAUUAUUAUUAUUAUUAUUAUUAUUAUUAUUAUUAUUAUUAUUAUUAUUAUUAUUAUUAUUAUUAUUAUUAUUAUUAUUAUUAUUAUUAUUAUUAUUAUUAUUAUUAUUAUUAUUAUUAUUAUUAUUAUUAUUAUUAUUAUUAUUAUUAUUAUUAUUAUUAUUAUUAUUAUUAUUAUUAUUAUUAUUAUUAUUAUUAUUAUUAUUAUUAUUAUUAUUAUUAUUAUUAUUAUUAUUAUUAUUAUUAUUAUUAUUAUUAUUAUUAUUAUUAUUAUUAUUAUUAUUAUUAUUAUUAUUAUUAUUAUUAUUAUUAUUAUUAUUAUUAUUAUUAUUAUUAUUAUUAUUAUUAUUAUUAUUAUUAUUAUUAUUAUUAUUAUUAUUAUUAUUAUUAUUAUUAUUAUUAUUAUUAUUAUUAUUAUUAUUAUUAUUAUUAUUAUUAUUAUUAUUAUUAUUAUUAUUAUUAUUAUUAUUAUUAUUAUUAUUAUUAUUAUUAUUAUUAUUAUUAUUAUUAUUAUUAUUAUUAUUAUUAUUAUUAUUAUUAUUAUUAUUAUUAUUAUUAUUAUUAUUAUUAUUAUUAUUAUUAUUAUUAUUAUUAUUAUUAUUAUUAUUAUUAUUAUUAUUAUUAUUAUUAUUAUUAUUAUUAUUAUUAUUAUUAUUAUUAUUAUUAUUAUUAUUAUUAUUAUUAUUAUUAUUAUUAUUAUUAUUAUUAUUAUUAUUAUUAUUAUUAUUAUUAUUAUUAUUAUUAUUAUUAUUAUUAUUAUUAUUAUUAUUAUUAUUAUUAUUAUUAUUAUUAUUAUUAUUAUUAUUAUUAUUAUUAUUAUUAUUAUUAUUAUUAUUAUUAUUAUUAUUAUUAUUAUUAUUAUUAUUAUUAUUAUUAUUAUUAUUAUUAUUAUUAUUAUUAUUAUUAUUAUUAUUAUUAUUAUUAUUAUUAUUAUUAUUAUUAUUAUUAUUAUUAUUAUUAUUAUUAUUAUUAUUAUUAUUAUUAUUAUUAUUAUUAUUAUUAUUAUUAUUAUUAUUAUUAUUAUUAUUAUUAUUAUUAUUAUUAUUAUUAUUAUUAUUAUUAUUAUUAUUAUUAUUAUUAUUAUUAUUAUUAUUAUUAUUAUUAUUAUUAUUAUUAUUAUUAUUAUUAUUAUUAUUAUUAUUAUUAUUAUUAUUAUUAUUAUUAUUAUUAUUAUUAUUAUUAUUAUUAUUAUUAUUAUUAUUAUUAUUAUUAUUAUUAUUAUUAUUAUUAUUAUUAUUAUUAUUAUUAUUAUUAUUAUUAUUAUUAUUAUUAUUAUUAUUAUUAUUAUUAUUAUUAUUAUUAUUAUUAUUAUUAUUAUUAUUAUUAUUAUUAUUAUUAUUAUUAUUAUUAUUAUUAUUAUUAUUAUUAUUAUUAUUAUUAUUAUUAUUAUUAUUAUUAUUAUUAUUAUUAUUAUUAUUAUUAUUAUUAUUAUUAUUAUUAUUAUUAUUAUUAUUAUUAUUAUUAUUAUUAUUAUUAUUAUUAUUAUUAUUAUUAUUAUUAUUAUUAUUAUUAUUAUUAUUAUUAUUAUUAUUAUUAUUAUUAUUAUUAUUAUUAUUAUUAUUAUUAUUAUUAUUAUUAUUAUUAUUAUUAUUAUUAUUAUUAUUAUUAUUAUUAUUAUUAUUAUUAUUAUUAUUAUUAUUAUUAUUAUUAUUAUUAUUAUUAUUAUUAUUAUUAUUAUUAUUAUUAUUAUUAUUAUUAUUAUUAUUAUUAUUAUUAUUAUUAUUAUUAUUAUUAUUAUUAUUAUUAUUAUUAUUAUUAUUAUUAUUAUUAUUAUUAUUAUUAUUAUUAUUAUUAUUAUUAUUAUUAUUAUUAUUAUUAUUAUUAUUAUUAUUAUUAUUAUUAUUAUUAUUAUUAUUAUUAUUAUUAUUAUUAUUAUUAUUAUUAUUAUUAUUAUUAUUAUUAUUAUUAUUAUUAUUAUUAUUAUUAUUAUUAUUAUUAUUAUUAUUAUUAUUAUUAUUAUUAUUAUUAUUAUUAUUAUUAUUAUUAUUAUUAUUAUUAUUAUUAUUAUUAUUAUUAUUAUUAUUAUUAUUAUUAUUAUUAUUAUUAUUAUUAUUAUUAUUAUUAUUAUUAUUAUUAUUAUUAUUAUUAUUAUUAUUAUUAUUAUUAUUAUUAUUAUUAUUAUUAUUAUUAUUAUUAUUAUUAUUAUUAUUAUUAUUAUUAUUAUUAUUAUUAUUAUUAUUAUUAUUAUUAUUAUUAUUAUUAUUAUUAUUAUUAUUAUUAUUAUUAUUAUUAUUAUUAUUAUUAUUAUUAUUAUUAUUAUUAUUAUUAUUAUUAUUAUUAUUAUUAUUAUUAUUAUUAUUAUUAUUAUUAUUAUUAUUAUUAUUAUUAUUAUUAUUAUUAUUAUUAUUAUUAUUAUUAUUAUUAUUAUUAUUAUUAUUAUUAUUAUUAUUAUUAUUAUUAUUAUUAUUAUUAUUAUUAUUAUUAUUAUUAUUAUUAUUAUUAUUAUUAUUAUUAUUAUUAUUAUUAUUAUUAUUAUUAUUAUUAUUAUUAUUAUUAUUAUUAUUAUUAUUAUUAUUAUUAUUAUUAUUAUUAUUAUUAUUAUUAUUAUUAUUAUUAUUAUUAUUAUUAUUAUUAUUAUUAUUAUUAUUAUUAUUAUUAUUAUUAUUAUUAUUAUUAUUAUUAUUAUUAUUAUUAUUAUUAUUAUUAUUAUUAUUAUUAUUAUUAUUAUUAUUAUUAUUAUUAUUAUUAUUAUUAUUAUUAUUAUUAUUAUUAUUAUUAUUAUUAUUAUUAUUAUUAUUAUUAUUAUUAUUAUUAUUAUUAUUAUUAUUAUUAUUAUUAUUAUUAUUAUUAUUAUUAUUAUUAUUAUUAUUAUUAUUAUUAUUAUUAUUAUUAUUAUUAUUAUUAUUAUUAUUAUUAUUAUUAUUAUUAUUAUUAUUAUUAUUAUUAUUAUUAUUAUUAUUAUUAUUAUUAUUAUUAUUAUUAUUAUUAUUAUUAUUAUUAUUAUUAUUAUUAUUAUUAUUAUUAUUAUUAUUAUUAUUAUUAUUAUUAUUAUUAUUAUUAUUAUUAUUAUUAUUAUUAUUAUUAUUAUUAUUAUUAUUAUUAUUAUUAUUAUUAUUAUUAUUAUUAUUAUUAUUAUUAUUAUUAUUAUUAUUAUUAUUAUUAUUAUUAUUAUUAUUAUUAUUAUUAUUAUUAUUAUUAUUAUUAUUAUUAUUAUUAUUAUUAUUAUUAUUAUUAUUAUUAUUAUUAUUAUUAUUAUUAUUAUUAUUAUUAUUAUUAUUAUUAUUAUUAUUAUUAUUAUUAUUAUUAUUAUUAUUAUUAUUAUUAUUAUUAUUAUUAUUAUUAUUAUUAUUAUUAUUAUUAUUAUUAUUAUUAUUAUUAUUAUUAUUAUUAUUAUUAUUAUUAUUAUUAUUAUUAUUAUUAUUAUUAUUAUUAUUAUUAUUAUUAUUAUUAUUAUUAUUAUUAUUAUUAUUAUUAUUAUUAUUAUUAUUAUUAUUAUUAUUAUUAUUAUUAUUAUUAUUAUUAUUAUUAUUAUUAUUAUUAUUAUUAUUAUUAUUAUUAUUAUUAUUAUUAUUAUUAUUAUUAUUAUUAUUAUUAUUAUUAUUAUUAUUAUUAUUAUUAUUAUUAUUAUUAUUAUUAUUAUUAUUAUUAUUAUUAUUAUUAUUAUUAUUAUUAUUAUUAUUAUUAUUAUUAUUAUUAUUAUUAUUAUUAUUAUUAUUAUUAUUAUUAUUAUUAUUAUUAUUAUUAUUAUUAUUAUUAUUAUUAUUAUUAUUAUUAUUAUUAUUAUUAUUAUUAUUAUUAUUAUUAUUAUUAUUAUUAUUAUUAUUAUUAUUAUUAUUAUUAUUAUUAUUAUUAUUAUUAUUAUUAUUAUUAUUAUUAUUAUUAUUAUUAUUAUUAUUAUUAUUAUUAUUAUUAUUAUUAUUAUUAUUAUUAUUAUUAUUAUUAUUAUUAUUAUUAUUAUUAUUAUUAUUAUUAUUAUUAUUAUUAUUAUUAUUAUUAUUAUUAUUAUUAUUAUUAUUAUUAUUAUUAUUAUUAUUAUUAUUAUUAUUAUUAUUAUUAUUAUUAUUAUUAUUAUUAUUAUUAUUAUUAUUAUUAUUAUUAUUAUUAUUAUUAUUAUUAUUAUUAUUAUUAUUAUCAUUAUUAUUAUUAUCAUUAUUAUUAUAAGCUUUAAGUUGUAAAAAUAGCCUAUCCAGUUUCUAUUGUUUCCAUUCUAUUGUAAGAAAAUAUCUUGGGCAUUACACUUUUCUAUUUUUUUUGGCUUAUUUCAUUGAUAAAUUUAAUUUAAAUGGAGAUAAACUUGAAAAUUCUAAUUAACUAUAGAAUAGAUAGGCCUGAUUUGCAACUCACAUGUUCUCUCCUCUUACUCCGCUCUUCAUUAAUUUUUGUAUGUUUUUGUGACUUUAUUUAUAUAUAGUCGAGAAUCCAAAUAGUAUGAUUAAAAUAAAAAAUCGAUUAGAAGACAGGUUGGCUUCCAAUUAGGUCAGAACAGGGAAAAAAAAACUUACCGAUCACUAUUUUACGGGUGAGUUCAUGAGGAAAAUAAUUAGGAGUUGCUUUCUAUUGACCACCGGGACUUGCACGGCUGCUUGACUUGUACAAUUACUGUUGUUGAAUUUGCACGACCAUCGUUAGCAUGCUAGAAUUAGAUUGGAUUAUAUUUGCUUGUGUCUUAUAUUUUGUAUAGUAUAAGAUUAAAUUGGAUUAUAAAAGUAAUAUGUUAUUGGAUAUUAAAAUCACUUACAUAUUUAUUUAGAAAUAAGACUACUUACAUUUAAAAAAUUAUUCUGAACACACUAAUUUUAAUAAAAGUAUAUAUUUAAAAAAUAAAUUAAAUGCCUAUAAAUGCCUCUAUAAAGAACAUAUAUUAAUUCAUUCACCUGCUCCCUCCCACCCGCCUUAAUUAAUUAUCAAGGCAACACCAGUCUCUGUCCAACGAGUCACUUAUUCCAAUUAAAGUGGUAUCCUUUUCUUUUGUGAGACUAGAACCAUGUACUUUAAUGUUCACAUUGGUGUUGCCCAUACGCCAAACAUAUCAUCAAGCUUAGCUAAUUAUUACUCGAAAUCAAUAAUUAAAUGAGGAUGGAAACCUUAUCCAUUAAACAUUAAUCUUUGUCCCUUAUUAUUAUUUAAACUCGGGUAACAAUAAUGUAAAGUGCAUAUUUAAUUAUGACCAAUUCAGCUAAGCCUAAGUAAUAUAUGUCAAUAAUGUAGUGUCUAGUGUCAUAGAUUAAACUUGAACCAUCUCAUAACUAGGACAAGGAUCCUCUCUCUCUCUCUCUUUUUCCUUUUUUUAGUCUUAUAUCCUCUCCUAGUUUAAUGAAUAGCUAAGAAUGAGUUUGGAAUUUUAAUGUUGACAAUUAAGUUGAUUUUUUUUUUCAACUUAUUUAUAAUUAUGUCAACUCUUUUCACUAAAUUUAAAAAAACUAGAAAAAGCUAGGAGAAAAAAAAUAUUAAAAGAAGAUCCUAAUCCCACAAGUUAAACUCAAACCAUGCAGUACUUAAUUUUGAUGAGUGAAAAUUUGAGUUUUGAAUUUUGAUGUUGACAAACUUUAAAACCAUGCAACACUAGUGCAAAGCAUGGCGAAUGAUAGCGCUCACUAAGCUUGAAAAGCCCAAUAAAUUGUAUAAAAGAGCAUAUUGAGCACUGGGGAUUGGAGCUUUUGGUGACUUGGCUCAAAUGAAGCCAGUUCUUUGUAAAUGGAGAAAUUACAUAUGUACAAGUUAUAAUAAGACUCAAUUAUAUCAAAGCAUAUUAGAUAGGAUAAGUUUGGAAUAUUUAUAAUUACAAUUGACCUAUACCUAGUAAGAGUGUAGAUCAUAAUUAUGAAACUCUACGACAAAUGUACAUAUCUAUUGAAAUAUGGAUCUUGAUGGAUUAAGCAUGCAUCUCCUACUCCUCUCCUAUAAAGAGGUUUUAAUACAUUUACAACUGGAGGCAACAUGCCCACUGCUAGAGUUAUCACAUCGGUAUCGUUAGAUUAGCAAUUUUGUUUAUGAUUUUAUCUAAUAGUAAUUUGUCGUUUUGUUUUUGGUUUCAAAUGGGCUCUUAAACAGUGCUAAAUAGUAACUAGGUGGGGGUAUGAAACCUCAUACAUAUCAUGCGUGAGAAAAGGAAAAACACCAACUGAAGGAUAGUUGAGAAUGUGAAGACCCAAGGGGAGAGAUAGGGCAUAGCUUGCAAUGAAAUCUAUCAUAAAAUUUGCUUUGCGAUAAACAUGGAUAACGGUGAUAUGCUAGUCACGUCGCAGGAGAUCCUUUAUAAAUCGAACUAACGGGAUGUAUUCAUUAGUAGAACACAAACGAUUACCAACCAGUUGAGUCACACAUAAGCUAUCCAAUUCCACAUUCAACCAGCAAAUACCUUUUUGCCAAACGACAAACAAAUCUUGAAACAACCCCAAGAGUUCCGCAACAAUAACAAAACAAGAACAAAUAUUUAUGCAAAAGCCAACCAAUCAAUUCCCAUUAUGAUCACAGAUAAGUCCACCGUGUUAGAUUCCCCAAUUCUCUUAGCUUCACCAUUUGUAUUAAGCUCGCACCAAGGCUAGAUGGGGGAAUUCACGCGAUCUACUUCUCGGACCUUCUGAAUUCUGAUUCUCGUACACAUGGGGGAGUUAUUUACUUUAUAAAUUUCCGCUACUCUCACACUGAUACCGUUCAUCAUGUAAUCACUAUCCACAAAGAGGUCAUUAAAAAAAAAAAAAAAUUGGUUCCGCUAGUACCAAAGCCUCCAGAAUGCAAAUCAAAGAAACAUCUCCAGCUAACAUCUUUCUUGAAAAUCCAAUUAUUCUUUAAAUUCUUACACAUCUAAUCACGAAGGUCUAAAGAAUAAAAAGCUUGUCAAUUACACAUAGGCAUGACAUGUGAUUAACACUUGAAAGUGUACAUGUAAUAAGGUAAAAUUAUUAGUUUUUCACUUAAAGUGUUGAUUAAUGUACUCAUUAUUAUUAAAUUAUCUUAACACUCCCUAAAUAUAUUUUUAUGUUAAAUUAAUUCGCAAUAUGUUGAUUUUUAUCUUGUAAAUAUUUUUCAAGAAUAAAGAUGGAAUUGGAAUUGAAAGUGAGAAUAAAAAAGAACUGCUUGAGGAUAAUUGAGGAGAUGUAAUUAAUAAAAUAAAAAAAUAAAAAAUAAAAAGGGUGAGCAACCAUACUCGUGAUGGUCAAGUGGCCAUCUUACCACCUGACCAUCACACCUCUCAAUGUAUAUAUAUAUAUUAUAAAAAUAAAAUAAAAUAAAAUAUAAUAAUAAUAAAACAAUAAAAAAAAAGGAUGGAGCCCUUGCCUUUUGAUGCAAGCAGGAGCUGAAGCCGAUAGAGAGAGCCGAGAGUGAAGCUGAGGAAAUCUUUAUUUCUUUUCUUGUUUUCUGGUGUAAUCAAUUUCCUUGUAAUAUAUUUCAAAAGUUUGUCAAAUAAAAAAAGUGUUUUGUUUUCUUUCAAUAUGAGUGACUAAUUUUAUUAAACUGAGGUGAAGGGUGAAACUCAAGAUUUUAAAUUAUUGAGUUAAUUAUUCUCCCAAGUGAGUCUUAAAGUUUAUUUUCUUUAUUUAUAUUUUUCUUCCUUACUGGUUUCUUUUAUGUCAUUUUAAUUUAUAAAUUCAAAUCUCUGUAGAUUUAUAUGGUAUUUUGAUAUAAUGUUGACACUUGAUCAAUAUAGUGGCGACACAUUAGGUACUUAGUCCCAUAUUUAUCACACUAAUGAUUAGUUAAAAAUUAAAUGGCAUAAUAAUUAACUGGUAAAAGAAAUGCAAAAUAUAAAAUUUGAGAGAGUGUUAUAACCAUAAUUUGAAAUCUGAAAGUGGAUCCCAUAACCUUAGCAUAUUUUUAGAUUGACUCAAAUUAAUUUCUUUUCCUACAUUAAAUUUUAUUAGUUUAAUAAAUUGAUUGCUAGAUUUUAAAUUCCUUAUUGUUCGAUCCCGGACUCAUCGAGUUAUAUUAACUAGAUACUCUUAUAUUUGAGAGUAAUAACACUUUUGAGUCGUGUCAACAUGAUUCCAAAACCUACAAAGUAUUCUCCAGAAUGGCUCCACAACAAUCACAUCCACUCCUUGCUGGAAUCUGCCUUCUUAGCAACUCAACAUUAAGGCAUAAUUUAGAGAAAACUACAGAUACAAUGUGGGCCUUGCCAAUUUCGAAGCCAAACUACAAAUCCGAUCUUCCUUAUUAUGGCCAUGACUAGAAAUGGCAUGGUAGGCUAAUUGAACAAUGAAACUACCCUUCUUGGACUCUGCCCAUAAAACUUAAUCUUUCACCCAUAUGAUUCAUUGGCAAUUGAAAGGAAGUAACUUUUAGAAUAAUUUUAUUAGGCAAUAAAUGCUCGAAAGUAGCCUACUUCUUGCUAUCAGACUCAUCUACAAAAUCUAUAACAACAUUAUACAAGAUAUUUGCACGAAGAUCACUAGUAGGAUAAAACAACAAAGGCUUGUCUCUUGUUACCCAAUAGUCCUGCCAAAACUUGACCAUUUUUCUAUCCCCUAUACUCUAUCGAGUACUCAUAAAAGUAUCAUUCCAAAUGCUCCCAAUUGAUCACCAUUAGUGAGAACCAAAUCUCGUAGGCAAUAUAUGAGGCAAAUUAGACGAACCCAAACGAUACUUCGUGAUUAGAUCCUGAGACCACGGGCUAGCUAGAGAAGUAAUCAUAUUGUGCGCGGAAUGCGGAAUCAAGCGCACUAAAUAAUUAUAGAAAAAUAAAGGACACAAGAAUUACGUGAUUCAGUAAUUAAACCUACAUCCACAGAGGCAAGAAAGAAUAAGUGUUUAUUUAACAAUUAAUAGAGUACAAUAUUUGAGUAACGAAUCUCACUUCCUAGAAACCUAAAUAUAUCCAGUACUCUCACACUCUGCAGGAAAGAUAAAUUCCCUAGACACACUUCUCUCACUUCUCUCAAAAGCUUAGAAACUUAUAAGCUUAACAAUUUUGGGAUGCUAAAGAAUGGGAUUGUCGCUAUGGUAGAGAUGAUCAGGUAGAGUCCCACGAGCCAUGAAAUCGUAUACAAGGAUCAUCUCCCUGUCAUCGUUGCAAAAGCC